rnacentral:rRNA from 1 species
GCUAAACGCGAAGAACCUUACCUACUCUUGACAUCUAGCGAAGAUUGCAGAGAUGCAGUUGUGCCUUCGGGAACGCUAAGACAGGUGCUGCAUGGCUGUCGUCAGCUCGUGUUGUGAAAUGUUGGGUUAAGUCCCGCAACGAGCGCAACCCUUAUCCUUAUUUGCCAGCACGUAAUGGUGGGAACUCUAGGGAGACUGCCGGUGAUAAACCGGAGGAAGGUGGGGAUGACGUCAAGUCAUCAUGGCCCUUACGGCCUGGGCUACACACGUGCUACAAUGGUGGUCACAAUGGGUUGCUACACAGUGAUGUGAUGCUAAUCUCAAAAAGCCACCUCAGUUCGGAUUGUUCUCUGCAACUCGAGAACAUGAAGUCGGAAUCGCUAGUAAUCGUGGAUCAGCAUGCCACGGUGAAUACGUUCCCGGGUCUUGUACACACCG